rnacentral:lncRNA from 1 species
CUUCUUAAUAAGAAAUGGCUUUACUAAUGGCACGUCCAGAUAACCUUUAGUUUCCAAUACUAUUAUUACAAAGGACUGCUCUCAAAUUUGAUUAUUUUAUGAAAAGUUUAAUAAUGCACAAUAAAUAGGUCCCCCCUUCACGUAGAUACUACCCACACAGCUUGUCUCUGCGAAUAUAAACGUAGUCCUUGUACAUACAUACAGACACAGCGACGCAUAUACCUACAGGAUGAUAUGCAGUUAUGUAUAUGUGUGUCAGUUGACAAAUCUAAGCCCUUGGAUUUAGAUUAAAAUGUUUCUACCUUCAGUCGUUUGCUCCAUUCUAUGCUAAAUCCUGUAGAAGGCUGGGAAGAACUGGGGACCUCAAGCCAAAGAAGUUUCUUGAUUAUAACUGACAGGCAGCGGAAUAUCAGUUUUAGGGAAUCAAAAGUUGAGUUGGAAGGCUGCUGGUUUGGAAACUAAGGUUGGUUCCAAGUGGUCCGACCUGAUUCCCAGGAUCUUUGUGAGAGCUGCUGGGAGAACUGAAAAUUAACAGCGAGGACACAGGACGCCCUAGGUUAUCUGCGUCUGUAAAGGAAGCCAGUAGUUGAUACUCCUCUCCGCGCCCCACGCGUGGCCGCGCUGUUCUAUCUCCGGCCACUGAGAUCAAAUACAACGCGAGUGAGAACAUUUGCAGAGGCGCGACUCUGGGAACACUCCUGCGACUGGCUGUCACCCGGGAGUCUAACCGGAUUAAUACUCAGAGAUGGAUUACGCUGGUUGUCACCAAUACGCCUAAAGAUUAUAAUCCAAUUUACGCACAUUACAGUCAGUAUUAACUUUAUCUGCUAUUUUAAGACUCCCGGUUGCCCCGCGCGUCCUCAGAGGACAAUCCUCCACGUUCUGAUGCAACUCAGUAGGCUGUCAGGAGGGGAAGCCCCCCGAAGAAAACAACUCCAAGCCUGGUCCCCGAGGGUCUGUACCCGGCACUCCCAGGUGUCUUGCUUUCACCUGGGCACCGCUUUAUGAAGCUUCCCAGCCGGGGAUUACCAAAGCGGAAGGCGUUCCCUUGCAAGGAAAUAGCAUCCUUGUU